rnacentral:rRNA from 1 species
UACGGAAGGCAGCAGUGGGGAAUAUUGCACAAUGGGCGCAAGCCUGAUGCAGCCAUGCCGCGUGUAUGAAGAAGGCCUUCGGGUUGUAAAGUACUUUCAGUCGUGAGGAAGGUGUUAAGGUUAAUAACCUUAGCAAUUGACGUUAGCGACAGAAGAAGCACCGGCUAACUCCGUGCCAGCAGCCGCGGUAAUACGGAGGGUGCGAGCGUUAAUCGGAAUUACUGGGCGUAAAGGGCACGCAGGCGGUUAAUUAAGUUGGAUGUGAAAUCCCCGGGCUUAACCUGGGAAUGGCAUUCAAGACUGGUUAGCUAGAGUCUUGUAGAGGGGGUAGAAUUCCGAUGUGUAGCGGUGAAAUGCGUAGAGAUGUGGAGGAAUACCGGUGGCGAAGGCGGCCCCUGGGACAAAGACUGACGCUCAUGUGCGAAAGCGUGGGGAGCAAACGAGGAUUAGAUACC